CAAAGCCAUUUGGACUGCAGGGAAGAACAAACCAUGAAGUGUGGCCACAAUGUGUUAAGGGAGGAAGACACAAGAUUAAAGCAUAUCCUUCGAUUGGCAGACUAUGAUUCAGCAGCAACUUCUCUUCCAUUAGCUUUCUCAUUCAUGGAGUUUUCAGUGUCACCCUCAAGCUGGCUUAAGUUGCCCUUUUCCUUGAUGAGUUGGUUGUGGUGGUGUUUG
rnacentral:misc_RNA from 1 species